rfam:Triticum aestivum genome assembly, contig: Triticum_aestivum_CS42_TGACv1_scaffold_194111_3AL
AAUCUACUCCCUCCGUCCAGAAAUACUUGUCCUAAAAAUGGAUAAAAUGGAUGUAUCUAUAACUAAAAUAAGUCUAGAUACAUUCCUUUCUAAGACAAGUAUUCCCGGACGGAGGGAGUACUAA